UAUUUUCAAGAGCGCAUUCAAGAGUGUGUAUAACAUUUUUUUUAAUGGCUAACUGAGAACAUUAUCUUUGGUAGUGGGGUUUGCUCGCCAGAAAUUCACCAUUAAAGUGCUUUGUUAUUGCGCUUGUCCUUUAUUAUCACUCGUGCGGCAACUUUCAAGAAAUUCGAGUAUUAUUGCUCUCAGAGGGACACGGUUUUCGUUGUAAAGCGAAUUAUAUAUGUGAAAUGGUCGCCAUUCAGUGACGCUUUAGCCAAUAGAAAAGAAUCUACUCACUCAGUGUGGCCCUCCUCUAUCAUAGUAUAACUCGGAACCAUUUCGCUUCUCUGGCAUAUAAUGCUAAUGAAUGAACAAUAAAAACGUCUAAUAAAAUGAUGAUCUCCACUGAGGAAUAUCGCAACAGAAGCACCUGUAACAAUGACCUCUAAAAUGAAGAGCGUAAGGAAAGUCACGUCGCAGGGAGUGUAUCUCUCUCGUCUUGGAGGUUUGAAUUCUUGGCGGACUUUUGGCAGGAAGUGUACGAAGAGGGGAUGGCAUGGCAGUAGGGUGAGGUCAGUGUCGAGCAAGUCGAGUGUUCGCAAGUUGGACCGGGCCUCUCUUUCUCUCUCUUUCUCUCUCUUUGCAGUGCGUGCACGCAUGCUCGCGUGUGCUAUGCUUGUGUUAGCUUGAAAUUAUUGUCGUGGAUGUGAGGACUGGCAUCCACUUUUUAAGUGUGUUUCAAAGAGAGGUGCAUCGCCCUCCGACGCUGCGUCAAGGCCAGCGAAAAUACUCACUCGCUCAGUCACUCCACUAACCGCCGAAAGCCUUCAUAUACCUCCUCCUCCUCCUCAUCCACCAACUCUUUCCCUCUCUCUCGCACUCUCCAUUUGCAAUCAACGAACCUCUUCUCCUCAUCGGUUCACUGUACCUCUCGCGGGCCAUUCUUUUCUUAUUUUAUGCCUUCUCUAUACAUCAAGCCUCCAUAUUCCUAUAUGUACACCUUAAAAUGUCAUUAC